GGGAAUUAAAAUAAUAAUUACUAUUAUACAUACCUCAGAGAGUUGUUGCAAGAAUAAAAUGAGAUCAUGUGUGUGACAGUUCUUUGCAACUUUCGUAUUUCUUUAGCACAGAGCUAUAUAAAAGAGAGCUAUUUAAUUUUUUUCUCUUUGGCUUAGAGCACAGAAGCUUUCAGGGUGGAGAGUCAGGACAGGUUCUAUGGACAUAUGGAGCUCCCAGGGGGGCUUGUGCAGGACUCAAGGAAAUGUCCAGCUUAACCUGCUGGGCACAACAAUUUUGCUGCUUCAACCCAUCUGCUAUGGAAAAUGAGGAGCCAACAAAAAAGGGAGAAACAGAGGUGAAGGCACCUGAUAAUGAAAGCUUUAAGAAAGGGAAGGGGUUCUUCCUCCCUACUGGACCACAGGCGUGUCUCAGCAUUGGGAAGGGUCCUAGGAUGCAUUGUAAAAGAAAGUCUGUAAUUUUGGUGCAUCAAGGAACAAAAGUGUGGAAACAUCCAGCCUGUGGCUGCUGGACACUCCCCUUCUUCCUUCUCACCAUACUGUCUGUAAUAAAGAAUAAAGUGUUAUUUAAUA